rnacentral:rRNA from 1 species
GACAGAGGGUGCAAACGUUGUUCGGAAUUACUGGGCGUAAAGCGCGUGUAGGCGGCUGUGCAAGUCGGGUGUGAAAGCCCUGGGCUCAACCUAGGAAGUGCACUCGAAACUGCAGAGCUUGAGUUCUGGAGAGGAAGGCGGAAUUCUCGGUGUAGAGGUGAAAUUCGUAGAUAUCGAGAGGAACACCGGUGGCGAAGGCGGCCUUCUGGACAGCAACUGACGCUGAGACGCGAAAGCGUGGGGAGCAAACAGG